CCGGGUGUGGCGCAGUCGGUAGCGCGCCUGCUUUGGGAGCAGGAGGCCGUGAGUUCGAAUCUCGCCACUCGGACCA
rnacentral:tRNA from 1 species